rnacentral:ncRNA from 2 species
CUCUUAUCCUGAGCUGGUGGAGGGAGCAGACCCUAUGAAACCCAGCAACCUGCUAAAUAGUGAAUGGAUCUCAUUUUCUAAAUGAUCCGAUUAAGCGAAGGUGCUAAACUGAGGCAAGGUCUCUAAAACCUUGAACGAUAAGAG